rnacentral:lncRNA from 1 species
UGUAAAAUUUUACUUCAAAUUAGAUCACUUCUGUGAUUUUACGUUUUCUCACUUUAAUAUCCUGUAGUUUAAACCAUAUCAAUUUAGUACAUUAUAAUUUUAUUUUUAUUUUUUAUUAUUAAUUUCACUAAUUUUUUUUUAUUAAUCAGUGACAAAAUUAAAACUUAAGGAUACUAAAGUAAAUAUUCGAUAAAUCUGAAUGGAAUAUCCACUACAACAAAAACGGUCUAUAGCGACACUUUUAAAUGUAGGUACAUGUCAAAAAAGUGCUGCUAGCUAAAAUUACCGACACUUUUAAAAAGUGUUGCUAUAUGUGGGGUCGCUAGAUAUAUAGUGACAGUUAAAGAGUGUCGCUAUAACCUAAAAGAGUGCUGCUAAUUUACCAACACUUAUUUAAGCAUUUAGCAACCGCCGAAACUCUAUCUCGUUGGCUGCGGUGGCAGAAGAGGACGACGGGAAAGGCUCUUCGUCUAGAAUUUCAGUGGAUUGAGUCAAGAGAGAAGAAAAAAUGGUAAUUGAUUUUUCUUUUUUUUUCUUUUCUGUUUGUAAUCGGGCUAAAUGGACUCGGUGUGGUGGGUUGAGUAGAAUAAUUUUUUAUUUUGAUUGGGCUUUAUAUUUAGGCAUUAUUAGAUUUUUUUUUUAAGUUUUAGCAUAAAUGAGAUACUUACUCAAAAGUAUCCCAAACAUGUGUCCCUAUAACCUAAUUCUAUUGUAGUGAUCUGAAAUUUUUUAUAUAUAAUUUAAGAAAAUAUUAAUGAAAAAACUAACGAAAAGAUAAAAACGAAACGAUAGGAUACUAACUUGAUACACUCUAAACUUUAUAAUACUAAAGUGAGAAAGUACGAAAUAAUAGGAGUAGUAUUUAAAGCUUACCCUAUAUAAUAUCAACCAUAAUAGGUCAAACAACAUUUCAACAAAUAAAUAAAUAAAUAAUAA